rnacentral:rRNA from 1 species
GGNGGGUUUGGAUAUGUGGUGACCCAGCAACGCCGCGUGAAGGAAGAAGGCUUUCGGGUUGUAAACUUCUUUGACGAGGGAAGAAAGAAAUGACGGUACCUCGAAAACAAGCCACGGCUAACUACGUGCCAGCAGCCGCGGUAAUACGUAGGUGGCAAGCGUUAUCCGGAUUUACUGGGUGUAAAGGGCGCGUAGGCGGGACGUCAGAUCAAGUGUGAGGUGUGGAGGCCCAACCCUCAAGCUGCAUUUGAAACUGUGGUUCUUGAGUAUCGGAGAGGCAGGCGGAAUUCCAAGUGUAGCGGUGAAAUGCGUAGAUAUUUGGAGGAACACCAGUGGCGAAGGCGGCCUGCUGGACGACAACUGACGCUGAGGCGCGAAAGCGUGGGGAGCAAACAGGAUUAGAUACCCUGGUAGUCCACGCUGUAAACGAUGAAUACUAGGUGUGGGGGGACUAACCCCCUCCGUGCCGGAGUUAACACAAUAAGUAUUCCACCUGGGGAGUACGGCCGCAAGGUUGAAUUUAGG